ACUUGUGCUCAAGUCCCUUCACCAGCCUUGUUGCUCUUCUCUGGACCUGCUCCCCCUGGGCACUCUAAGCAAACUGAGAUUGGAAGAGCA